rnacentral:other from 1 species
AAUCGAGAUAAUCGCGGCGGGCGCGGCGGCGGAGAUCGACGCGGCGGCGGCGGUGGUUACUACCAGUAAGUCACACAAUUUUUUUAAUUUCACAAAGGAUAAAAAGCAAUGUCAGAACGGAUCAUCGGAACGGUUAAGUGGUUCAAUAACACCAAGGGUUUUGGUUUCCUCUCGCAGGACAACGGCGCGGAUGUGUUUGUUCACUUCUCCGCCAUUCAGAGCGACGGCUACCGCAGCCUCGAAGAAGGCCAGAAAGUGGAAUUCACCAUCGAAAAAGGCCCCAAGGGCCUGCAGGCGUCGAACGUCACCAUCGUUCGCUAAUCACUCUAUCAAAAUCACGAACACCCCGCCUGAAAAUGGCAGGGUGUUUUCU